AGCUGCUUGUUCCAGAGGUUAAUACUUGCUUGGAGAAGUGAAGAUUCGUAAAAGCUAUAUGCGCUGUAAAUGGUGAAUUAACACAUGGCUGAAGCUGGCCAUUAGGAGGAUUUUUCUUAUGAAAAACGGUAAAGUAAAAUGGUUUAAUGCAGAAAAAGGUUUUGGUUUCAUCGAAGCUGAAGACGGAAACGAUGUAUUCGUUCACUAUUCUGCUAUCCAAUCAGAAGGUUUUAAAUCCCUGGAAGAAGGCCAAGAAGUUUCUUUCGAAGUUGUUGAAGGAGCUCGCGGACCUCAAGCGGCUAACGUUACUAAACUAUAAUUAGAAAUACCAUAUAUCGCAGUUCAGCCUCCGCGGCUGGACUGUUUUU
rnacentral:sRNA from 1 species